AUUGAACGCUGGCGGCAGGCCUAACACAUGCAAGUCGAACGAGUGGCGGACGGGUGAGUAAUGUCUGGGAAACUGCCUGGGGGAGGGGGUUAACUACUGGAAACGGUAGCUAAUUCCGCAUAGCAGAGGAUGUGCCCAGAUGGGAUUAGCUAGUAGGUGGGGUAAAGGCUGACCUAGGCCACGAACCCGAGCUGGUCUGAGAGGAUGACCAGCCACACUGGAACUGAGACACGGUCCAGACUCCGACGGGAGGCAGCAGUGGGGAAUAUUGCACAAUGGGCGCAAGCCUGAUGCAGCCAUGCCGCGUGUAUGAAGAAGGCCUUCGGGUUGUAAAGUACUUUAAGUUGGGAGGCGUUACCAACAGAAUAAGCACCGGCUAACUUCGUGCCAGCCGCCGCGGUAAUUC
rnacentral:rRNA from 1 species